GGGUCAGUAGGUUGGUCGUGCCACCGGUACGUACUGGUCUCACUGAUUCCUCCUCCCUGAAGAACCGUAAUGCCAUUAAUUUGGUGUUGCGGGGAAACAGGACUGUUACUUUGAAAAAAUUAGAGUGUUUAAAGCAAGCUAACGCUUGAAUACUUUAGCAUGGAAUAAUGAAAUAGGACGAUCGAUCCUAUUUUGUUGGUUUCUAGGAUUGACGUA
rnacentral:rRNA from 1 species